CGGUGCGCCUUAUGCAUGCAAGUUGAGCGAAGCUUUUUGGUAGUUUACUACUAGAAAUGACUGAGCGGCGAACGGGUGAGUAACGCGUGAGCAAUCUACCUUAGUUACUGGGAUAGCCCGAGGAAACUCGGAUUAAUACCGGAUAUUCUUAUUUUUUCACAUGAAGUUUUAAGGAAAGGUCAGCCGAACUAAGAUGAGCUCGCGUUCUAUCAGCUAGUUGGUGGGGUAAAAGCCUACCAAGGCUACGACGGAUAGCUGGUCUGAGAGGACGAUCAGCCACACUGGGACUGAGACACGGCCCAGACUCCUACGGGAGGCUGCAGCAGGGAAUAUUGUGCAAUGAGCGAAAGCUUGACACAGCGACACCGCGUGUGGGAUGACGGUUCUAGGAUUGUAAACCACUUUCAGGAGGGAAGAAAAUGACGGUACCUCCACAAGAAGACCCGGCCAACUAUG
rnacentral:rRNA from 1 species